ACCUUUAUAUUAAAAAAAAACCAAAUGUGUGAGCAAGUCCAUAAGCUAUAUCAUAUAUGCAGGGGGGGAGAGGAUUCAUCUAGAGCAUGUCAGAAUCUAUUGAAGGAACUAUCAGAGGGAAUCAGAGAAUGAAGAAGAGACGAGAUUUUUGAUUAGCUGAGCCUCUGAGGGAUUCAAAAGGAAUUGAACUCCUAUUGAAGCAACCCUUUUCAAAAAGAGAUGGCAAUAGGUUAUACUGUAUUAUUUUCUCGCUUGGAUACAGUUUCCCGAUCGGAGAUCCAUGGAUCACAGACGGUAUCUCCCCAUGGCCUUUCGCCUCUGAAAGUGUCCUUCCUUCUCAAUGCCCAUUACCUCUUUCCAAUAGUUUGUAACGUCUACUUGAAUUUCUUUUUAUCAAUGGGCUUCAUCAGAAGUUCAGCCCGACUGUCUUCUUUUCCUUGUGACUUAUCAGUACUAUUUUCAAAACUACAUAAAAUUUCUGUCCUUAAGAAUCACUGAUGCAGACAGGAAUGUUUAACAAGGACAAUGCAACUGGUUUAAUUGUCCUGAUCCCUGCCUAUCAUAAAUACUACUUGGUAUAUUUACAAUUAUUAUGCUGUAAAUCUAAUUUAGCUUCUUUGGUUAAUGUUGUGAUAUUGUUAAAAAAGCUUUAGCUUGACAUAUAUUAUAGCAAGGGAAAGUAGCGAGGGAUGGAACUCAGCAUUAGGAAAUGUGUCUAUUUUCCUUAGAUGCACGUGGUGAGGCGACAAAACCCUUGACCUUUCUUUUCGAAGUAAAUGAUCUUAUUCUACAGAUCCUCAAAGAACCAGGUGCAAAAGGUCAAGAGAAUAGGAACGAGCUCUUUCUUAUGGACAUGGAAUCGGACUAAUGCAACUCUAGGAAGGCUGGGCAUGCACUAUCUAAGGGUACAAACAUGAAGGAAGAUGAUGACAAGAACACUAGAUCUCACUCCCUGGGCAUCUAGAUUGUUACAGUUUGCUCUCCUUUUGUUGAGUUAUGUUCUUCUGUUUGUUAUGAGGGAACCCAGCACUCCAAACAUGUCGCUUUUGUUAUUUUUCGGAGUCUUCAUUGUUUAGAUGAUUCUGGAAAUAAGAAGAUUACUAGGUCUUUGCCUAAGUGGCAGUUCAUUUCACCCAGCCCUUUUUCUCGUCGUUAUUCUGGUUCCUUCAUAUCCUAGUCUGAGUAGCCCCCUUCCUUUUUCAGGCAUCACCAGAUUAUUGAUUGUACAGUUUUUCUUAUAGUUAUAUUUCCAGUUUUACCAAGGUUUUGUUUCAGCAGUAAAAUUUUAUUCAUGGGACAGAGGAACAAGCAUAAAGUCAAUAAAACUUCAUCAAAAAAAAAUAAAUUUGUUGUGAUUGUAAAUUUGUGUUCCAAUGA